GCGUGUGGACAGGACUAUCUCAGCCGACACUGAGUCACCCAGGGUGCGGUUGUCUUUGAACCAUAGGACAGUGGGCGGAGGGUAAGCCUCGAUCAUCACUUGCAGUGUCCGGCUCUGGUGCAGCUCAGCAAUUUCUACUGCACCCAGCCCUUGCAGCAGCCUCACGUAGCCUCUCUCUGCAAGGUAAAGCGGUCAGGGGCAAGGCCUGGGGUAGGGCUAGUGCAGCCACCAAUGAGGCAGCGCCUCCAGGGGUCGGAGCUUCCGGAGACGGGGGCAUCUACUGAAGGCCUGGGCUUUAGGAGCCCAUAAAGCAGCACUGGAAAUGGGGUUAAAAUGGGGGCCAAUCUGGAGCAGGUCCCAGUUUGGUGCAGAUAUUGGUGGUGGGGCUGAUUUUGAGGUUGGAACUGUAGUUCUCUGUUCUAGUUCGGUAUUGCAGCUGUGGAACACAACAGCCUGGGAUGGGUUGGGUCUAGGGUUCAGGCUAGGCAGAAAGUCCAGGCUGGGAUUAAGGUUGGGUCAGGCUGGCUCUGCACUUUGGUUUGGGUUAAGCCUGGAAGCUGCCACAGAGUGUAGGGUGGGACAGGAAAUUGGCUGCCUGUGCCCCAUGGCUGUACGAGGGUCUGACUGGGCUCAGACUGGGCCGGGAGUUGUGUCCAGGGCACCCACCGACCACUGUGACGUUGACAGCCUUCUCGUCUCGGGUGCUCAUUCACACUCUCAGACACGUUGCAGAUGUAGGUCUUGUCCUCCAAGGUACCAAUGAAACCUCGCUGGUGGUCAUAGGGAAUAGGUAGAGGGAUGUCUUCUUUCUUCUCAUGCAGUGUCACCACCAGCUGGGGGUCUGUAACUCGGCAUGGGAUGGUGGGGUCAGUUAUCUCCGUGACAAAGACAAAUGUAUCCUCAGGGUCUAUCGGGAGGAAGCUCAUGCUGGGAUCUGCCAGAAGAGGAACCAAGAAUGAGGGUCAGGAAAAAUGGGUUCUGGCCAGCUGUGAAUUCCAUGUGACUCUGAGCAAGACUCUUCCCCUAUCUGGCCCUCAGUCUCCCCCAGCACACAGUAAGGAUGCUGCUUUGGUCUGAACAUUGGUCAUCUCCAAAGCUCCUUGGCAUAUAAUUAUCUUUUUAAUAGUAUUAAGAGGUAAUUAGGCCAUGUGUACCCCCAAGGGUAGACAGGUGCCAUAAUAAAAGCCCAAGUUCAGCUACACCUCUCUUCUCUUUCUCCCCCUUCUGCCUUUAUCCAUGGGAUAAUGCAAAAGAGAAGACCCUUACCAGAUGCUGGGCCCUUGAUCUUGGACUUUGCAGCCUCCAGAACUGUGAGCCAAUACAGUUCUGUUCAUUAUAAAUUACUCAGUCUCGGGUUGUAUGUUAUAGCAGCAAACCUGGGCUAAGAUAGGUCUCAGAGGCUCCUUUCAUCUCUAACAGUGGUAUUGAGUCCCAGGGAGAGAAGAAAACAAGCCCCAAGUUGAAGUGUGGCUGGUACCUGGAGCUUGAAGAACAGGGAAGCUGGGAUAACAGGGCCAAGACAGAGCAGAAUGGAGCAGCUGAGAAUACAGAGUUCUUAGGUGGCAGGAAUCGGGCUGGCUGGCAGGAAGCAGGAAGAUAUCCAGGCCAAUGUGUGGGGACAAACACACUCCUGGUCUGAGCUGGGAUGGCCUCCAUAAUUUGUCUCCAUUUCUAAGAUGGCUGAACUUCACGGUGUCAUUGAAGGAGCCUCCAAGCUUCCCCUGAUGCCUCAGUGGAGAAGAGGGAGCAUGUGGGUAUGUAAGCCAAGAUCCUUACCUGGCACAAAGAUGUACAGCCGCUUCUGCUCACUGGGCUCCAGCUCCGACAGAACUGUUGUAGGUGCAAAAGUAUUCUCCUGUGUCUCCGCCAGUGACAUUGGUCAGUGUCAGCACGCUGGUGAAGGUGCCAUCCUGGGUCACGACCAUUUCCUGUGGGGGUACCUGGGACAUUCGUUCCCACACCACUGGAGCCGAACCGAGCAGGUCAGAACAAAGGUGCUAGAGAGAUUGAGAACCAGCUCUGGCCCAGGGGGCGUGAUGACCAGGCCUUGGGAGAUCUGUGGUCCCAGCAGCAACAGCAGUGGCAGCAACAGCAACUGGCCUUUGGGAGAGGUGUUGGCUGUCAGGGCACAGAGGCCUCAGGACAUCCCCCAGAGCCACUCCAGAAGCCACCAAGUCCAUAAAGAACACAAAUCCCUGUCUAACAGAGAGGAGCCCUCUGCCCAUGGCUCUGGGGCCUGCAUACCCACUGUAGCUCCCAGGGGACUCCUUCCAGCCUCUGUCUCAGUCCCCCCUCUCCUGAGUCCUUCCACAGUGCUAUGUUUGGGCAGUAGGCAGAAGGAGUCAGGAAAUCACUCGGGAAAUAAUUCC
rnacentral:lncRNA from 1 species